GAUGAAGAACGUAGCAGAAUGCGAUAAGUAAUGUGAAUUGCAGAAUUCAGUGAAUCAUCGAAUCUUUGAACGCACAUUGCGCCCGCUGGUAUUCCGGCGGGCAUGCCUGUUCGAGCGUCAUUUCAACCAUCAAGCCCCCGGGUUUGGUGUUGGGGAUCGGCUCUGCCCUUCUGGGCGGUGCCGCCCCGGAAAUACAUUGGCGGUCUCGCUGCAGCCUCCAUUGCGUAGUAGCUAACACCUCGCAACUGGAACGCGGCGCGGCCAUGCCGUAAAACCCCAACUUCUGAAUGUUGACCUCGGAUCAGGUAGGAAUACCCGCUGAACUUAAGCAUAUCAAUAAGCGGAGGA
rnacentral:misc_RNA from 1 species